rnacentral:misc_RNA from 1 species
AGAUUCUAGUAGUAUGAUGAUUCAAGGACAAUCACAAUGAAGAAACAGUAAAACAAUUCACUUGGAAAUAGCUCUGCCAACAUAACAUCAUCAUACUACUAGAAUCUCACAUGUAUCAAUCUCACAAUUUCAAGGAACAUGUCUUCCAUGAAUAAUCACGCUUGAACUUUUAAAAAAAGGGAAGAAGAAGUAAAUAAUGGUCGUUAGUUCCUUGAUUGUCACAAAAACAAUUGAAAGUUAAGCAUUCACGACCUGAACAGAAUUUUAAAAAAUUAAAAUAAAAAGCAAUGAAGUCACUUAACCUAGUGAUAAAUCAACUACUGAAAACUCAUAAUAGGAGUAGUGGACCAAGCUACUUCUCCGAACAAAAACAAAUA